rnacentral:misc_RNA from 1 species
UCAAGCAAACAUGUAAAAUGAAUUGCAUCAAAUACUAGUAGACAAACAGUUUUUGCUUUUGAGUCAUAAACACUCAAAACAUUAGAAAAGCUAAAUGCAUUACAUAAAUAUAUGAAUAUAAACAUGCCAUAACUUAUAGUGCAUUUUGCUUUUUUCUAACCAUUCAUAUAGCGCCAUCUGCUUUACUCCUUUCUUGAAAAACAACUUUCCCCAUUGAAGAAGCAACUUCCUGGUAGUUUCUUUUAUGCCUUAAAGUGUUGUAAAUGCAUUCCACACUCAUGCUUUCUCCAGCCAAGCUAGUUUCUCGAGCAACCACCAUGACUUUCUGUCCACUCCGAUUCACAUCCAUAGCAAAACUGGAAACCACACCUGCGAUUAUAUAUAAUCACCAGUAACACGGAAUCAUACCUAGACAUGAACAUUUCUAAUGUGAAAUUUGAUUCAACAUUGAAGUAGGUAAAUUCUGAUACCACAUUGAAAAAAUAGACUGAAUUUAACUCAAUCCCAUAAACUAACUCAAAAUUACUUAACUUUCGUUAUCUUACCUUGUCUCAGAAAACCUCCAUGUAAUUCAAAUUCAUAACCUUACGUCGUGAAAACGAGAAGAGACAAAACUUAUCAGUUACAUCAAGCAAUUUUCAACAUUUAAAAUGAAGCGACAAGCAAAAAAAAAAACAUUUAAAAUUCAGCUUUAGUUCAUGUCAAGGUAGAAAUAAUUAGUAAUUAAAAUCUAAGGGUGAUGGCAAAAUGUUCAGAACCACAUUGUAGAAUAGUACUGAAAUCAAUUGCAUAGGUAUAGUCAUAACACUAAUUAAUGUCAGAAGUAUGUAUCACCAUCCUAUGAGAACAUAUAAUACUGACCUGCAAGUCAUAUGCGGGCAACCUUCUGUUCUUUCCACGUAGAAUUUGCAUUGGGGACAUCUGCUCCAUUUCUGAUCCCUAGCAAGUUCCAUCACCAUCAGAUCUUCUCUCCCUCUCUCGUCCUCAUUCAGCUUCUGGAACACCUCACAAUCAACGCCAGAAUGCCAAGGGACAUGACACCGAGCACAAAACAAUCUAUGGCAGAACGGGCACUCAGCUUCACUAAUCUCUUGUCCUUCUUUAUCAUUCACCAACAUGGCCGAACAGUCCUUAUAUGGGCAGUAAAAUCUCUGCGAAACGCUGAUUAGCUCCUGGCAGAGCGCAUCCUCCCAAAGAUCAAUCACUCCCUUGUUGAGCUUAAUCCUGCAAGUUUCCAGUUCAAGCACAGCCUUACAAUUCAAUCCUGGACAAGUAACGACUGUAAUGCUUUCCUGAAUCUUUGCAGCCACAUGUUUGCUUAUACAAUCGGAGCAAUAAGAAUGAACACAUUUAUCAGUUGAGAACAUUUGGUUACUUUCUUUUCUUUCCGCACAAAUAUCGCAGAAACUGUGGGAGGGCUGACCAUCUUCCUGGUGAUUUGGCUCUGGAAGUGCUCCAGUCAUCAAAACCGAUGAUGGGUUAUCCUUAUUCAUCUUAGAAAUGAUCACACAACCCACCUGGAAUUGCAUCUCUUCUGCGUGUUUGGCUUCUGUAAAGUCUUCCUGGUUCUCUUCAUUAUCGAAAAGCGCAGGGAAGUGGAAAUCAUCAACAAAAUCGAGAUCAGAGACAUUUUCUUUUGCCAUGAUACUGAAUAUGCCCUUGCAAUUGAUAAGCUAGCGCUCUCUCGUAAACUACUCUGAAAUUAAGCCAAACCCACGGUGAUUAUCGUCUAUAAAGUUGAAAAAGCGUAUUGGCCUUGGCUAGAGGUCACUUCGCUUAGAAGGGAUCUGAUCUCAUUGGAAAAUUUUGUCUCAAGGGUAAACCUAUUGCCUUUCGGAACUAUGCUCCUAAACUUCCUCCCUUUCCUUUUUUUUUUUUUUUUUCAUCCUUUCUUUUUCCUUCCAU